rnacentral:tRNA from 1 species
GUCCCUGUAGCGCAAUGAAUAGCGCGUUGGACUUUUAAUCCAAAGGUCGUAGGUUCGAAUCCUGCCUGGGAUG